AUUAAUUAAUCUUCGUGAGAUAAUUACAUUAAUUUUGGCACAUGAUAAUCACGUUAAUUAUUCUUAAUACUCCCCCUCAAGAUGAGUAUGAAUGCUUGAUAUUCAAAAUGCUCUUCUUGCUUAACUUUGUUGCAGAUUUUAUGAAUCUAUUUGGGAUUAAUAAUCCUAGUGAAGGUUUUUUCUCUGAUGAAUUUAAUACCAAAAUCUUUAAACAAGAAAAUCAACCACAUGAACUCCCAACCUCUGUUGAAUUUCUUGCAAAAAUAGUUUGUUCCUUGGACUUCCAAUUGAUGAGUGACUGUCUAAGAAAGUAUAUAUAGCCAGUCAUUGAUUUCCUUCUAUCUUGGUAGCUUGUCCCAACACUAUUGGCAUGAGUCGUUAAUUGCAGAAAAGACUUAAUUUAAAAUAAAAUUCUUUUUCCUGGUUCUGUUUUAAGGUAAGUUAAUACCCUAGAGGCUGCCUGCAAAUGAGAAUUCCUUGGUUUGUCCAAGAAUUGUGAUAGUUUGUGCUGUAUAGGCCAUAUUAGGCCUAGUGAGGGUUGAUAGUAAUAAUUUUCCAAUCAAUCAUUUAUAUAUACAAGCUUCUGUCAUCUGAUCAUCAUCGUUGGUCUUGGAGAGCUUGUAAUUGUAAUUAAUGGGAGUGGAAAUUGGUUUAGGUCCCAAUAAAUCACAUUCAUUAAGUCCAAUGUGUAUUUCCUUUGACAAAUGGAAAUACUCCAAACUUAAAAAAUACCUAGGCACCCUAAGAUCCUUAAGUUUGAACCUUGAUUUCAAAUAUGGUUUUACAUCAGUUGCUAUAUGAAUAGCAGAGCUAGCAAUUACCAUGUUAUCUAUAUAUACCAGUAGAGCAAUGAAACCUCAUUAACAUGAAACCUCCAUCUAUAUAUACGAGUAGAGCAUUUUGCGAACUUGGAGUUUUAUUACACAACCUCAUUAAAAUCACCAUUCAAAAAAGUGAUGUCCAAUUGAGAGAAAUGUUGCCCUUUGGAAAUGCUCUUAUUAUUGUUUGCUUAGCAGUAGGACUAUAAAUCUCCUAAUAGUCAAACUCAUCCCUAUUCUUUCGAUUUUAUCCUUUGGUGACAAACCUAGCUUUGUACUUUUUCACACUGUUAUCUGCAUGAAUUUUCAUCUUGUAGACUCUUUUGCAUUCAUUUGCAUGUGAACCUCUAGGAAGGGGCAUUGCAAUCCAUGUGCCAUUGUCCUCCAAAGCAUACAAUUCUGUUUUCAUGAUAUCUUGUCAUUGAACAUAAUUGACAGCUUGAUAAUUUGUGAGGUUCAGGGAUAAGAGAUAAUGAAAAUGGUAUAGGUCUUGUGAGAAGAAGAGAGUUGUUGGGAAGAAAGGUAGCUGGCAAUGGGAUAGACGGUGACAAAACUAGUGUGAGUAGUAUGAGAUGGUAAAUUAUAUUGGUAGGCUUUGAAGUAUUUUGGAGGGUUUCUAAUUCUGUUGAUGUCAUCUCUGUUUGCCAUGCUCAAUUCUCCUAGGGAAAGUACCAAAAUUAGAAAUCUUCCUAGAAAGGCACUGUCAUCAAGACAGUUUAGUUUUUUGUUGAGCAAGAUGAGCAUUUUGAAUAUUCAUGAGCAUUCUGAAUAUUCAUGCUCAUCUUGAGGGAGAGUAUAAGAGCAAUGCAUGUAAUUAUCAUGGUCUUGGCUUGUAAUCAAUUAUUUUGACAAGUAUAAAUAUUACCUUGUAACUGACUUUAAGUUAUGAGAAUCAUUUUUUUUUCUACAUCCAUAUCAGUUUCUUCCUCUCUCAAUCUUUACAUAGUCCAAAGGGUGCAAUGUAUGGUAUUUUGAUUUUUACUUCUGGAGUUGAUUGAUGCCAUAUAUAAGGCCAAACUAUAACCGUACGUGAGUUCAUUGAAAUUUUAAAUAAAGCAUCAGAGAACUGCAAACUAAGCAUUUGUCUGGUUGAUUUAGUUACAUAUAUUAAAUCUGUGCAGUUGGUGAGGCUGGUUGUUUACAGUUUUAUAUGAUAUUUUGUAUUUGUAUUGAGCAAUCUUUUGAUAUUUGCUCUUCCGCCCCCCACUUAUGCCCAAUGAUGAAAAUUUUAUUUGCAAGGAGGUUCAAUGGCAUUGUAUUUUUGCUCUAUCCUUUCCACUACUAGUGUCAUCAUUAGUUUAGGCUCUUCUUCUUCUUCUUCUUCUUUUCUUCGUUAUUAUUCUUAUUGUUAUUAUUAUUAUUUUCAUCCGCAUUACUAUUGAUGAUGCUGGUAAUGGAUGUGGAAAGGUUUUUAGUGAAAUUCAAUAGCAUCACCAUUGAUGAAUUGUUAGAACUUGAGUUCUGACCUCUGAGGGCAUUGCAAGUUCUUCCGCCAUAUGGUGUAUUUGAGAGUUCCAAGUGUUACAAUGUUUCUUCGUUUGAGUUUUAACUAUUUUAACUAGGAUAUUGCAGGUUGUAGGAGUUUCCUUUAAAUAAUAAUGCUAUAGUUUUAACUAGAAAUUUGCUCGCACCUUGCUGCAGGGCAAAAUUUUAAUAUUUGAAAAUUUUACAACAUUAUUUACGUGUUAAUGAUCAAUAUUCAUUAAUUAUUUUUGGUUUUAUGUUAAUUGUAGUGAUAUUAUUCUUGAUAUAACAUAUUAAGCUUUUCAGGAGUUACUUAUUAUACUUUAUCUAUUCUUUUUUUACUUGUAUUGUAGGAAAACCAAACUCUAGCCAAAUCAAAGCAGUCAAAGUUUUGACCUUUUCAUAGAUUACAAGCACAACAGUGAACAAGAAUGUUGAUUAAAGGAAAGAAGAGUGAAGCUAAACUUAAGCUAAAUGAAUGGAAUCAGUUUGUUUUAAAUUGUGAAUUGAAUUAAUCUUCCUUCAACUGAAACUUGAUCGUGAGCUUUGGAAAUUUCUUCAUAUGCUUGCCUCUUUCAACCCAUGUGACUUUGACCACAAUAGUUUAUUGUUUACAUUAGAGCCACUUGCCAGUCAGCCUGACUAUGAGUGGAUUUAAAUCUGUAGUUUGACAAUGCAUUUAUGAGAGUGUUUCCAACCUUUAUGGUUCUCUUAAGCUCCAAAAUUUGCAGUUAUGAAUAGUUGCAACUUUUUAGUUGGCUGUUGGUUCACACCUUGAAACUUCUUCACCUAUUAUUGUCAUGAAUGUUGGUCAUUUCGUACCUUAGUUAUUGUCUUUACUAAAACUCUUUAGUUCACACAAUGGAACAAGAAAUGUGAAAUAAUUGGUUAGCUUUCA